rnacentral:lncRNA from 1 species
CUUUCUUUCUGCAUAAUAUCUUGAGUUUGUCCAGGGCUGUUGAAAUUGAAAAAGCUUUGCUGCUGGUGAUUGCUUUGUUCCUGAUGGACUUGAGACUCGAUAGUUUGAGAAAGAGUAAUUGCAACUUCGCCAGCAGGUUCUGUUGUUUGAAAACUAGAUCUGUUCUUGUCAUUUUCAUUAUUUUUCUUUAAGAAGUCAUGUGUUGAUGAUUUGGUUUUGAAAGGAUCAAAGCAGUCAUGGGACACGUUGAUGGAUGCUUCUGAAGAGCCUUGAGUAACACUUGAUUUUUGCAAGCUUUCUAUUGGAUUGUCAUGCUCCAUACAUAAAGGUUGAUCAUAUGCAUCUCUGAAGUUCUCAUUUGAUUUGCUUUUAUGAUUGUUAUCUUCAUAAAACUUGGUUGAACUAACCAUUUCGAGGAGUUUACUGAAAGAAGUGUUACUAUCAAAAUGAUUGUACUUUGCUGUGUUGGACAGAACUUCUACUUCUGAGUUGCUAUCAGAGCAUGAUCCUAUUUUCUCAGGAUUUUGAUCAUUUGAAAAAUCUCCAGAAAUUUGAGAUGAAAUGACAGAGCCUUGGGAUGAAACUAUGUCAAUUAACUCUUUCCUAUCACCAUCAUAACAUG